rnacentral:rRNA from 1 species
AUUGAACGCUGGCGGCAUGCUUUACACAUGCAAGUCGAACGGUAACAGGCCUUCGGGUGCUGACGAGUGGCGAACGGGUGAGUAAUGCAUCGGAACGUGCCCAAUCGUGGGGGAUAACGUAGCGAAAGUUACGCUAAUACCGCAUAAGCCCUGAGGGGGAAAGCAGGGGAUCGCAAGACCUUGCGCGAAUGGAGCGGCCGAUGUCAGAUUAGCUAGUUGGUGGGGUAAAGGCCUACCAAGGCGGCGAUCUGUAGCGGGUCUGAGAGGAUGAUCCGCCACACUGGGACUGAGACACGGCCCAGACUCCUACGGGAGGCAGCAGUGGGGAAUUUUGGACAAUGGGCGCAAGCCUGAUCCAGCCAUGCCGCGUGCGGGACGAAGGCCU